ACUUUGUUGCUGGCUAUUAAUCAGGAACGCUCUCAGAUCUUCAAGGAUGUACCCAGGUCCUUGUUACCAUAGCCCCCUUGAUAUCAGUGGGCUUCUGACCAAGCUGUGCCAAUCAGAAUGCUUCAUCUGGGAACCUGGAAUUAAGAUAUCUUCGGAUAUAUAGCAUUUCGUACUUUUUAGCAGAACGAGUCGACCUGCAUUGAUUUGAGAUUCUGCCCGUCAGUAACUAAACGACCCUGAAGGCAUGAUCUCGCUCUGCGGCCCAGGCUGCCAGGCUGAAGUUAAAUGGCAUGAUCACAGCUCACUGCAGCCUUGAACUUCUGGGCUUAAGCAAUCCUCCCACCUCAGCCUUCCAAGUACCUGGAACUACAGGCCUGCACCACCACACCCAGCUAAUUUUGUUUUUAAUUUUUUGUAGAGACAAAGUCUCACUAUGUUGCCAAGGCUGAUCUCAAACUCCUGGCCUCAAGUGAUCUUCCCACCUCAUCCUUUCAAAAUGCCUAUAGCCAUCAUCCAUCAUGCGUGGCCCAGUCUUUCAUAUUCUUACAGAUGUGGGUGACCCCCAUGUUAUACUGGUGAGGAGGCUUAGGAAAUUAAUAUAAACUUGGAACUUAUGAAGUCUUUCUCAUAAGACUUUUUCACAGAAUCAGGUUUCAAUUUCUUCUCUCUCUCAACUUCCUGUGGCAUCUUGAAUGCUAUUUAUCAAUAAAAUCCCAUACAAUUCUGCAAAACAAAGACUGCUAACAUUCUUCUGUCUGGAUUUAUGAAGAUUAUACUUCUAAGAGAAAUCAAUCCUGGUAAGAAUAACCAGAAGUCCUGAAGGCCCAAAAUAGCUAGUGAGACUUGAUAAGGUCUUUUAUGAUUUGUUAGUUAGUGGGAAAAACUAGGAAAUUAGAAGAAUGUGAUUCGUUACAAGUUGCAUCUACUUCUUAAACACAGUUGAGCAAUAAUAAUUCGCUGAAAAAAAUCCUUGCUAAUUAAAAAAAUAAAAUGACAUGAAAUUUAUUUUAGAGUGAUUAUUUGUGUCAUCUGUAGGUUGCCGGAGUUUUGUGUUUUGCAUCCUAUAACAAAACAGAUGAAACAGAGGGUUAAGAGCCACAGAGGGAUGGUGACGCUCUGCAGGUGUGCUUUUCCAUCAGUUUUUAAUUAGGCUAUGGGUGAGGCACAUAAAUAGGAAGUGCUGAGGGUGAAUAUGGUCUUUUUAAAAAAGGAAACAGUGAAAGGACAGAAAUCUGUAAUCAUGAAGACAGACAAGUGGUACUCUGAUUUUCUGUAAUGUGGUUUUUGUCAUUUUAAUGCUUAAUAUUAAGAUUAAAUGUAUGCUAUGCUUGGAAGAAAAUCAUAUUUUUAUAAAUUUAAUUGAAAUAUUUGCAAUUUUUUAUGACUAUCUCUGGGCAAACCCUUAGCGUCAAAAGAAAGUAAAAAAUUAAAAAGGCUUGUUUAAAGGCACUUUCUUCUUUGUUAUGUAUGGCACUUUCCUGUCUUGAAAGAGAAUGUUGAAGGAAGUAAUGUCCCCGUGAAUGUCUGAUGAUAAUGUGCCCCUGUACUCAGGCCUUGCCUGGUGAAUAAUCU
rnacentral:lncRNA from 1 species